rnacentral:rRNA from 1 species
CGCCAGACUCCUACGGGAGGCAGCAGUGGGGAAUAUUGCACAAUGGGGGAAACCCUGAUGCAGCGACGCCGCGUGAGCGAUGAAGUAUUUCGGUAUGUAAAGCUCUAUCAGCAGGGAAGAAGAUGACGGUACCUGACUAAGAAGCCCCGGCUAACUACGUGCCAGCAGCCGCGGUAAUACGUAGGAGGCAAGCGUUAUCCGGAUUUACUGGGUGUAAAGGGAGCGUAGACGGCGAUGCAAGUCUGAAGUGAAAGGCGGGGGCCCAACCCCCGGACUGCUUUGGAAACUGUAUAGCUGGAGUGCAGGAGAGGUAAGUGGAAUUCCUAGUGUAGCGGUGAAAUGCGUAGAUAUUAGGAGGAACACCAGUGGCGAAGGCGGCUUACUGGACUGUAACUGACGUUGAGGCUCGAAAGCGUGGGGAGCAAACAGGAUUAGAUACCCUCGUAGCA